GGGACAUCAGCCUUCUCUUGGGAAUAGGCCAGAUAUGCCAGAACAAGAAAUGUCUAUAUCUUGGACUGAAAAAGGAUGCUUUGCCCCUGCGGUUGUGAAGAGGAUGCUGUGGAGGUGGCAGCAUGAACGUGUCACACAGACAUUGGCUAAACUACUCGGCUUCUACACUUGCCCUCAGAGUUCACAUAUGGUGAAGUGCACAGGUGUCCAGUCAGGUUCAGACUGAUGCUGGUAACAAGAGGAAAACAUGCUAAUUGGUCAGUCCAUGAGCCCACGUCUUCAGGUCAUGGGCCUGAGAAGAAUCUACCGUUACAGGGGUCAGAAGAGAUCCUCAAACUAUGCUGACAUUACUACCCCUGUACUUCAACCCCUCUGCUGCCACUGGGUCCUCAACGAGAAAAUAAACUGAUUCCCCCCCCCCCAAUCCAUUCCUUUUUCCACCGUCACAUCACACCAUGCCUAUGCACAUUAACACCACCAAUGAGCCUAGAAAACUAGGACAACAGUGAGGAUGAAUUUAGAAACCGCUUCCACGUAUUGUACUAUUUCUGAAAAAGCAUUGGUAUUGGCCUUCUAUCUCCACGUAGCCAUAUCAAAAAACCUGCCUAAAAAAAAAUCAAUUUUGUCGUGUUUCCGCUUAAAAAGGAAUUUAGAAACCGCUUCCACGUAUUGUACUAUUUCUGAAAAAGCAUUGGUAUUGGCCUUCUAUCUCCAUGUAGCCAUAUCAAAAAACCUGCCUCAAAAAAAAAAACAAUUUUGUCGUGUUUCCGCUUAAAAAGGAGAACAAAAUAUCCACAUGUAAAAUUAUCCUGCUACGUGGAAAUGGCACCUUACUAAAUAAAUAACAACUGCAUAGUUAUUCUGUUCAAUUUAUGAGUAACUAUGUAAAUUAUGAUUAACUUUUUGGCUGAUAUGGGACACUGCAUGAAAAGAGGAAUUUGUGGAUGAGUUUUGCACCUUAAAUUGCCUCAUACCUCAAGCCACAGCAUUUGCGGCUCCCCCAUGCCCCCCUCCCAUCCCCUUCUUAGAAGAGCCUUUAAUAUGUAAAUGCCAGUGAUCAGGUCGGGAGCUGCCCCAGUCAAUUUCAAGUGGGGUGGGGUGGGGUGAGGUCAGGUGGGUGGGAGGGAGUGGGGGGUCGGCAGGCCUGUUUCUAGGAUUUUGGGGUCCCUAGGCAACGGGAUUGUUGGGGGCCCAAGGGCAUUUUUUGGCCUUUUACUAAAAUGUGUGUGUCUGUGUGUGUGUAUGUUUUUUCACGCUGCCCAGUGGUGUUUUUCAGAAUCACUAACCAUUAAACCAGGGGUAGGGAACCUAUGUCUCGAGGGCCCUUGAGGCGGUUUUAUCCGGCCCCUGAUAUCAUUAUAAUGUUUUGCAACUUCACAUGAAAUAGGCCUAUGACAUAUUUUGCAGGCCUAAAGGAAUCUUAGAAAUUACAUUUCCAAUGCAAUUAAGUUAUAUUCAGGGGACCUAGAAAAG